UCCCAGGUCCGGCCGUCGCCCGGGACGGCGUGCUGACCGCCGAACUGGUCGCCGUCGCUCAGGGUGUCCAGCAGCGUGCUGUGGCCGUACUUGCCCUCGCCGGUCACCGCGGCCUUGCCGUGGGCGAUCAGGUAGGUCGCCUCGACCGGCGUGCCCUUGGCGACGAUGGUGUCGCCGGCGGAGUACUCGCGCUGCACGAAUGCGUCGCCCAGCGCGCGCAGGAGCCCGAUGUCGUCGAACCCGCGUAACAGCGGCAGCUCGGCGAGCGUCUCCGGGACCACGCGGAUGUCCGCGCCGGUCUUGUCGAACGUCACCCGGCCGUCGCCCACCUGGUAGGCCAGGCGGCGGUUGACCCGGUAGGUGCCGCCGGACACCUGCACCCACGGCAGCAUCCGCAGCAGCCAGCGGGAGGUGAUGCCCUGCAUCUGCGGGACGGACUUGGUGGUCGUCGCCAGGUUGCGGGCCGCAUCGGUGCUCAGGCUGAGCCGGCGGUCCGGGUC
rnacentral:antisense_RNA from 1 species